AUGGAGCUCGUCUCAUGCAUUGCCAUGUGCCUCUGGUUGGCCUUUCUCCUCCCUUCCCACGUAGCAGCCACGGCGCCAACCGGCAUGGUAGAGCGGGAGACCAAGCAGCAGAUUCUGGCGAGCAUCCCGCCGCACUGGGAGGAGAACCCCGUGCUGUUCCUGACAUCGCCGUCCGGCAAGUACGCGGCCUACUUCAUGCGCAGCCAGACCGCGCCGGGCGCGGGCGGCCUCAGGGCCGACUUCUGCUACGUUGAGGUCCUCGACACCACGGCGCCGGGCGCGGAGGGCUGGAGCGUGUGGGAGUCGGAGUGCUUGGCGGUGAGCACCGUGAACACGUGCGCGCUCGUGUUCUCGUGGAAAGGGCUGGAGGUCUUCGACGGGAGCAACUCAGUGUGGCACACACACGACACAGAGUCGGACGACAACAACUUCCUCAAGACCCUGCAGCUGGUGGACGAGGGUGACAUGCGCAUCCUCGACAAGGGCGGCGAGCUGGCGUGGAAGGCCAGCGACGAGCCGCGCGCCGCGCAACACUGCGGCAUGCCUGGUUCGCCUGGCUUGGCCCCGGCAAUGCCGCCGUUCGCUGAUCCGAUCGGAAAGGGGAGUAGCAACUUGCCUUUCGGGCAAGAUGAAGGAGGCAUCGACGGCAACAGCUACGGUUCCGUCGGAGGAGUUGCACAACCCGAGCUGCCGUUGGCGCCGGGUGGCGUUGGUGGGCAGGGGCAAGCUGUGGAGAGCGUGGGGGAGACUAUGGGCUUCGGUAGCCAGCCAUUGGUGGACAAUAGCCCAUACGACAGCGGUGCACCGGAGCGUCCAUGGGCUGGAGUUGCUAAUUUGGGUCUCAGCGUGGCAAUUGUCAUUGCCAUGGGCCUGGGUCUCUGA
rnacentral:rRNA from 1 species